GGCCUAUGCGUGUUAAUGCAUCAGAGGGACUUUAGUGGGAACUUGGGACCACACAGGAAGGAUACUGCUGCUCAGCAUUUGUCCUUGGUAAGCAGAAGCCUUAUAGGACAGAGGCCUAACUCCUAAGUGUGCCUUCUCACCACGGAAGUGGGUUUUAAUGAGGCCCAGGGUGAGGCUGUCAACACUAAAAAGCAUCGCCACAGGAACCUUGUCAUUCAAGGCCACCGGAAGACCUUUCCCCUCCAACCUGGGACCCCAUCAAAAAUCUGGGUUGGUUUCCCCACUGAGGAAGACACACUGCACUGCAGAUCAUCUUGCAUCUUGGUGUUAGCUGUAUAUACAAAGACUUGUCAGCCUGCUGCUUCAUGUGAUGAACAGAUACUACUACUACACUAGUGGAGGUAAGAAAAGCAAAGUUGCAAGCUUGAAUUGCUCUGAGACAGUGUCUGCAAGAAUCUUCAAAUGCUUCUCGCCUCAGGAUUCUCCCUGCAGUCCAAGUUUCUGAUGCAUUCUGUGUAGGAGCUGUUUCUUUCUUUCUUUUAUUUUUAAAUUUUAAGUUAUAUAAAUUUAUUAUAUCCAGAUUUAGGAACAUAGUGAUACUUCGUAGCUUACCCUCCCUUCCACCCAUGCUGCAACCCUUCUUCCUCCUCCCUCUCCUAUUCCCACUCUUAAUUUUUACAAAGAUCUCCCUAUGAGCAUAGGGAGAUUACUGAUGCCAUAGACAGGAGUGUCAAUUGGUAAAGUCAACAACAGGAGUCACUGUGCACUUACUCCUCGUGUAGGAUCUCUGUCCUUAAUGUGCUGUGCAUUGAGAUUUAAUGCUAUAACGAGUACUCAAAUAAUAUAUUUCACUUUGUGUUUCUAUGGGGGUGCAAACUGUUGAAAUCUUUACUUAAUGCAUACUAAACUGAUCCUCUGUAAAAAAAAAAAAAAAAAAAAAGAAAAGAAAAGAAAAGAAAAGAAAAGAAACUAUCAACUCCCAACUUGACUCUCACUGGGAUUAAACAUGACAAUAGGUCUGAUCUGAUUUCAUCAUCAUUAAAAAAAAUCAUCUAUUAUUUUUCACUUUAUGUUUCUGUGUGGGAGCAAACUGUUGAAAUCCUUACUUAAUGUAUACUAAGCUGAUCUUCUGUAUAUUAAGAUAAUCGAAAAUGAAUCUUGAUGUGAAUGGAAGGGGAGAGGGAGUGGGAAAGGGGAGGGUUGUGGGUGGGAGGGACGGUAUGGGGGGGAAGCCAUAGUAAUCCAUUAUUCGUACUUUGGAAACGUAUAUUCAUUAAAUAAAAGUUAAAAAAAAAAUAGAAUGAUAAAAAAA
rnacentral:lncRNA from 1 species